rnacentral:rRNA from 1 species
CACGUAGGGCGCAAGCGUUGUCCGGAAUUAUUGGGCGUAAAGAGCUCGUAGGCGGUCUGUCGCGUCGGAUGUGAAAGCCCGGGGCUUAACCCCGGGUCUGCAUUCGAUACGGGCAGACUAGAGUGUGGUAGGGGAGAUCGAAUUCCUGGUGUAGCGGUGAAAUGCGCAGAUAUCAGGAGGAACACCGGUGGCGAAGGCGGAUCUCUGGGCCAUUACUGACGCUGAGGAGCGAAAGCGUGGGGAGCGAACAGG